rnacentral:tRNA from 1 species
AUUUAUAUAGUUUAAAUAAAAUAUUAAAUUGCAAAUUUAAAGAUGUUGAAAAUUAUUAUAAAUU